GACGAACGCUGGCGGCGUGCUUAACACAUGCAAGUCGAACGGAAAGGCCCCUUUGGGGGUACUCUUGUGGAGAACGGGUGAGUAACACGUGAGUAACCUGCCCUUGACUUCGUGAUAACGUCAGGAAACUGGGGCUAAUACCGGAUAGGAAUCCUUGCUGCAUGGUGGGGGUUGGAAAGCUUCGGCGGUUUUGGAUGGACUCGCGGCUUAUCAGCUUGUGGGUGGGGGAGUGGCUUACCAAGGCUUUGACGGGUAGCCGGCCUGAGAGGGCGACCGGCCACAUUGGGACUGAGAGACGGCCCAGACUCCUACGGGAGGCAGAAGUGGGGAAGAUUGCACAAUGGGCGGAAGCCUGAUGCAGCAACGCCGCGUGCGGGAUGACGGCCUUCGGGUUGUAAAACGCGUUCAGCAGGGGCGAAGCUUGUGGUGACGGUACCUGCAGAAGAAGCACCGGCUAACUACGUG
rnacentral:rRNA from 1 species